AGAGCGUUGGCAGAGUGGUUUAAUGCACCUGUUUGCUAAACAGACUGUCGACUGAAUAAGUUGGCACGUGAGUUCAAAUCUCACACGCUCUU
rnacentral:tRNA from 1 species